GUUUAUGGUCAUACCCCCCCUGAAUACGCCUGAUGUCAUCUGAGCUUAGAAGCUACGCAGGGUCGGGCCUGGUUAGUUCUUGGAUUAAGUCAAGGAAAAUCCGUAUUCAAUCUACC
rnacentral:rRNA from 1 species